AGGCUGUUAUAUCUCUGAAUGUGAGCAAAAAUAAUACAACAACGUCUUUCUCGUUUUUUAUUGGAGCAAUGUGCAACAAAAGCCAUAAUGGGGUACCUGAUUUGAAUUAAUGGGAUAACAAGACAAGAAAAGUGUGAGUGAAAAAAGCACGAGGAAAAGGUGAAACUGUAUCAAGUUAAUCCAGUUAAUAGCAGUGUGAGAACAUGAAUUGUUAUCUUUACUCUCACCAUUCAAUAAAUUCCGGCAAGCAAGAAAAAACAACAACAUGUAAACAUCAGAUAAUUUCAAGUGCAGCCACCACCAUAUAUUGGAAAGUUUUAAUACUUAUAAAUGAACUGUAAAGUCCAGUGAAAUAAUUAUUGUUUCCUCAAAAAAUUUUCCAGUUACUUGAAAAGCUAUAAAUAGAUUGUAUCGGUUAAAGCAUGGAGAGGAUUACAAUAUUGUUUCUGGUUGCUGUCAAAAAAUCAAUUUUUGGUUUUACCUUUUUCCUCUCUUCUCGUUAAAUUUCAUUUUUUGUCAAGGUUGAUUUCAUUGAUUGUGGAACUGGGUUGGCAAAGAUGACAGGAAACUUGAUGAUAAGAAGCAAAAAGGGAUUGAAAUAUACUUACGAUUUUUUUUAUAAAGAAGUA